rnacentral:rRNA from 1 species
GUGCAAUCCGUUGCACUAUCGUUAACUGAAUACAUAGGUUAACGAGGCGAACCGGGGGAACUGAAACACUAAGUACCCCGAGGAAAAAAAAUCAACCGAGAUUCCCCCAGUAGCGGCGAGCGAACGGGGAGCAGCCCAGAGUCUGAAUCAGCUUGUGUGUUAGUGGAAGCGUCUGGAAAGUCGCACGGUACAGGGUGAAAGUCCCGUACACGAAAAUGCACAGGUUGUGAACUCGAAGAGUAGGGCGGGACACGUGGUAUCCUGUCUGAAUAUGGGGGGACCAUCCUCCAAGGCUAAAUACUCCUGACUGACCGAUAGUGAACCAGUACCGUGAGGGAAAGGCGAAAAGAACCCCGGCGAGGAGAGUGAAAAAGAACCUGAAACCGUGUACGUACAAGCAGUGGGAGCACCUUCGGGUGUGACUGCGUACCUUUUGUAUAAUGGGUCAGCGACUUAUAUUCUGUAGCAAGGUUAACCGUAUAGGGGAGCCGAAGGGAAACCGAGUCUUAACUGGGCGUUAAGUUGCAGGGUAUAGACCCGAAACCCGGUGAUCUAGCCAUGGGCAGGUUGAAGGUUGGGUAACACUAACUGGAGGACCGAACCGACUAAUGUUGAAAAAUUAGCGGAUGACCUGUGGCUGGGGGUGAAAGGCCAA